GGGUACUGUGUUUGGUUCUCCUGCUGCUCUGGAAGGAGGCCUUUAUUGAAUGGCACAGAAAAAGGCUGAGUUAACCUCCCCAUUUCAGUUUGUUGAACUUUUGUUAUUGUGUUUUGCCCAUCUGGACCAUGUUCUGUAUUAAUAAACCAUACAUUUAAAGAAUAAAGAAAAUGAAAUCUUGUUACUUUCUGUUACUGAUCUGGAAUUACUAUUGUUACCUUUAACAUUUAUUGUAAUCGAUGAGCAUCCUAGCCUCUUCUUCAUUAUAAGCAGCCAGUGGCUCUUUGGCCUUGAUAAAUAAUAGCCCUCUAUUCCUUUCUUGGUCAAUCAAUCCCUGCCCCUUUUGGUGUAAUUCCCAGUUUGAAUUCUUGUCUUUGCUCUUAUGCAAGCAAACUUGUUGACAGGCAAUCCAGAAACUCAAAUUCAUCAUGAGCUUUCUUUCCUAAAUAAAUUCUUUGGAUUAGUUAGUGAAGCAUAGAUUAAGGACUCUGUUCUUUAUCUACCCAAUUGACCUUUGCACAUAAGAGGAAACUUUCUUAAAGGGCAGCUUUCAUCAAUCAUUCCAUGUUUCAUCAUUCAAAUUUUAUCAUGAUCACAUACUUUGGGUUGGCCAUUGCCUGCACUAAAUCAUAGAGUUAGGAAGUUAUAGAGUGAUGAUUCAACAUUGCAUGCAGUUUCAAAAAAAAGGUACAAUAUCUAGUAAACAUAACAAAAUAAUCCUGAUAUAAACUCAUGAUGCAAUUAAAUUUACCUUUCCAUGUUGCUCUAACUUGCUGCCUAGAACUUAGAGAAUCAAGUGGAUUUGAUACAAAUCUUGGAAGAAUCGGAUGUUUGAAUUUCUCAAGCCCUGUUUGUAUCAUUGCUUUACUCUCCAUUAUUGAAUCUUUUCUGCUACCGGUGUAAUGGAAGGAGGUGGUACAAUGACUAAGCCAGUAGAAGUGGCUGGAAUAGCAGUUCCCAAAUACAUAAGCAAACCCCUCUGUAUGAUGGGGAUUGAUAUAGUCUGGCCAGGUCCGCCACGUAUCGCUUGGAGUACCACCUCAGCAAAAACCAGCUUGAAUUUGCAUUUGCUUCAUCUUUGCCUUUGGUGAACUUCCUCAUUAUUCCAGGUUUAAUUCCUUAGACCACCUCCACAACUGCCUUGCUGAAACCUCUCAUUCAUCUCAUGUUGAAAUUAGUGGCAAAGAUGAAGUCAGGUCCUUAA
rnacentral:lncRNA from 1 species